rnacentral:rRNA from 1 species
GACGUAGGGCGCAAGCGUUGUCCGGAUUUAUUGGGCGUAAAGAGCUCGUAGGCGGCUUGUUGCGUCGGCUGUGAAAUCCCGUGGCUUAACUGCGGGCUUGCAGCUGAUACGGGCGGGCUGGAGUUCGGUAGGGGAGACUGGAAUUCCUGGUGUAGCGGUGAAAUGCGCAGAUAUCAGGAGGAACACCGGUGGCGAAGGCGGGUCUCUGGGCCGAUACUGACGCUGAGGAGCGAAAGCGUGGGGAG